CACCUGGUGUUUUUUAACACCACCCUUUUCAAAAGAAUCUGUGUUU
rfam:Phytophthora infestans T30-4 supercont1.4 genomic scaffold, whole genome shotgun sequence.